AAAUGGCCGCUGCCCCGCAGGGUGCUGGUCACGUGACGGCAUGUAUGGGGCGUGGCCUGUGUCACGUGGCUCGUCGGCACCGCCCAUUAAGAGCUGGCCGUGGUACCGCUCCACUCGCCAUCGUCGCCUGCAUUGGUUCAUUCAGGCAAGUUGCGGGGAGAGUUUGCGCCCCCCGCACCACAGAACAGCAAGUGCCAAGGUUCGGAGGCCGGAGUAGCGGGCAUCCAGGCAGAAGUUGAAAUGACUGAAGUCCUGCGAGUCCUUACGUCUUCUGUGAAAAUUAAAGGAAUAUGAAGUUCAAAAAGUGGCCAAAACUGAAGGAUGAUAACAGAUCUCGGGGUAUGGGAAGAUCAGACCUGCCCUCAGUCCAUGCCCCUGGGUCUCUGCAUAGGGUAGCUCACAACCUGGCAGCUGGCUUCUUCAUCAAAGUGAACAAGAUUGACUGGCUGUGUAGCUUACUGUCACUGCCUCAUCCCUUUGAGAGGAUUGGACCACCUGUCACCCAUUCAGGAAAAAUUCCAAUUGCAAAAUUCAAAAAACAUUAUCUAUGAAUGUAUAUCACUUUUGCACCAUCAUAAAAUUGAAAGAUCAUAAGUUGAA